rnacentral:rRNA from 1 species
GAUGAACGCUGGCGGCGUGCCUAAUACAUGCAAGUCGAGCGAACAGAUAAGGAGCUUGCUCCUUUGACGUUAGCGGCGGACGGGUGAGUAACACGUGGGUAACCUACCUAUAAGACUGGGAUAACUUCGGGAAACCGGAGCUAAUACCGGAUAACAUUUGGAACCGCAUGGUUCUAAAGUGAAAGAUGGUUUUGCUAUCACUUAUAGAUGGACCCGCGCCGUAUUAGCUAGUUGGUAAGGUAACGGCUUACCAAGGCGACGAUACGUAGCCGACCUGAGAGGGGGAUGGGCCACACUGUAGCUGAACCGCGGUCCAGGCUCCUACGGGAGGCAGCAGUAGGGAAUGUUCCGCAAUGGGCGAAAUCUUGACGGAGCAGCGCCGCGUGAGUGAUGAAGGGGUUCGGCUCGUAAGACUCUGUUAUUAGGGAAGAACCAAUGUGUAAGUAACUGUGCUCGUCUUGACGGUACCUAAUCAGAAAGCCACGGCUAACUACGUG